UGACCCCGUGCGGGAGAGUCCUUCGGAAAGAUGUCCGGAGGCGCCGAAGGAGCAAAUCCUCCCCGGAAUCUCUCAGGCCCACGUACCGCGCGGACGAG
rnacentral:ncRNA from 2 species